UCCCUCAAUAAUAACAUCAAAUAUAUUAUUAGUAUGUCUUUUUUUACCAAGUUGCUAAGUGGUAAAAUCAUCAAUUGUUGGAUAUAUCUUAGUGUUGUGUGAAGUUCUACAUGACACGAUAUCACCAUCCGCACGAGAGAGAUGCUGAGAGGUCACCAAUUGAAGACAGAAAUUCUGCUGAUAAUCUGCCAACAAGCAUGUGCCAAUUUUGAGAUAGAGGUCAGAUGAUGUGAAAUAAAAUAUAAUUUUUAAAAUAGUAAGCAAAUAAUAAAAAUAUUUUUAUUUUGACUGCCGAAAUGCUAAAAAAAAUAAAUUAUAAGUUUUGGGUGCAGCUAUAAAUCAUAAUUCAUAAAAAUAUUGGAAGAUAAUGAGAGUGACACUCCCCACAUCUUUAAGCUCACGUGCACAAGACCGAAGGGAGAGGGAGUCUCACUGUACCGACAGCUUGAAAGUUAAACCCAAUGAGAAAUUUUUUGUGCACCGCGGGCGGUGCACGCGACCCAAGGGAGAGGGAGUAUCACUGUACCGAUAGUUUGGAAGGUAAAUUUAAUGAAAAAUUCUUUAUGCACCGCU
rnacentral:lncRNA from 1 species